GUCGGGUAAGUCUUGCACGACCAGCUCCCUUCGAAUUCCCCCAGGGUCGGAAGGCAGCAAGGGUAGAUGGUUGUAGCGGUGCGAUGCAAAUAGCUUACCCU
rnacentral:SRP_RNA from 1 species